GAUGAAGAACGUAGUGAAAUGCGAUAAGUAAUGUGAAUUGCAGAAUUUAGUGAAUCAUCGAAUGUUUGAACGCACAUUGCGCCCCCUGGUAUUCCGGGGGGCAUGCCUGUCCGAGCGUCAUUGCUGCCCUCAAGCACGGCUUGUGUGUUGGGCCUCCGUCCUCCUCCCGGGGGACGGGCCCGAAAGGCAGCGGCGGCACCGCGUCCGGUCCUCGAGCGUAUGGGGCUUCGUCACCCGCUCUUGUAGGCCCGGCCGGCGCUUGCCGACACAUCAAUCUUUUUUCCAGGUUGACCUCGGAUCAGGUAGGGAUACCCGCUGAACUUAAGCAUAUCAAUAAGCGGAGGA
rnacentral:misc_RNA from 1 species